GGGGUCCUGGCUGCAGCGGAUUCAGCUCUUCAUGAAUGUCUAUCAGGCACUUGGCUGCAAUGGAACCAGCAGUGGUUUGGACAGUGGGGUUAGUGAUCCUUGGCCUGCUGGCCUGGUGGAUCAAUAGUAGCCAGGGACGGUGGCCGUGGACCAUGGAGGAGGAAGAAGUGGAGGAGCACAGCCCAAGGGGGAAAGGCACCAAGUGGUCUCUCAUUGGGGACUGCCGGCUGAUCUGCAAGCCCUCCGCUCUGGCCCUGGCUUUGCUCAAGAACCUCCACAAGUCUGCUGACCUGGAGGCCCAGCGGUGGCCCUGGAAGACGUGGCCGUACUUGCAGACCGUCAAGCAACUCCUGUGGCCCCCGGACUUGCCGCUGGAGUUUGCCAGAGACCAUCUCCAAGUGGCAGACAACAGCCUCGUCGCCUUGGACUGGGUCACUGGGCCGUGGAGCAAAAGCAAGAAAGGAUCGAGCGUGGCACAGUCCACGGUGCUCCUGAUCGUGCCCAGUGCCACGGGCAAGAUCACCAGAAACAUCUGCCAGCUGUGCCAGCUGGCUCUUGAGCACGGCUACUACCCGGUCAUCUUCAACAGGCGUGGGCAAAACGGUUGCCCUCUGACCAGUCCGAGGCUGCAGCCCUUUGGUGACCCAUCAGACCUGAAAGAGGCAGUGGCGUACGUCCGCUUCCGGCACCCGACCGCCUUGCUCUUUGCCGUGAGCGAGGGCUCUGGCUCAGGCCUGCUGCUCUCCCUCUUGGGUGAAUGUGGUUCUUCCUGUGAUCUCAGUGGAGUGGCCUGCAUCUCCCCGUUGCUCAAGUGCCAGGAGUGGUUUGAAGCUGGCAGCUCUUGGUUGUGGGAAUGGACCCUGCUCCUGUACCAGAAGAGAGCCGUCAGCAGGUACGCCAAGGCUUUGGGGGAGGUUGUGGAGAUGGAACGGGUGCUCGGGAGCCACUCGCUGCGGGAGUUCGAAGAAGCCCUCUUCUGCCGCAGGAGGAGCCGGGCCCUGACAUGGGAAGCUUACUGGGGCUGCAACGAGCCGCUGCGGGAUGCCGACGAGGUAGCCGUGCCAGUGCUGUGCAUCUGCAGUGCAGACGAUCCCAUCCGGGGGCCGCCCAGCAAGACCCUCCCAUGGGAACUCUUCCACACCAACCCUCACUUCUUCCUGCUCUUGGCUCCACACGGAGGACACUGCGGCUUCCUUCAGAAGAGCCCCUUGCCCUCCGCUGCCUCUUGGGGGAACGUGGUGGCCCUGGAAUACCUGGGGGUAUUGGCCAAGUUUUUCCAGGCAGAGGUGGGAACGAAAGAUAAGCCAUACCGGAGGCAUUCGGGGCUCCUGCCUCAGUGUUGCCAGGGCAUUUAUCCAAACACAGAAGGCCUGCCAGCCCCCCUUGAUUUCCAGGACAGCUUCAGCUGGCAAAGGUCAUACACUCGCUGAUAGCUGGUGCAAAGGGCCGGAGUGGCAGGGACUAGUUCCUCAGCUGGGUACUUUGCACCAAACUCUUUUGGGUGCAGCCCCAAGCUGGAUUGCUAGCAGUGUUGUGCCCUGUGACUAUAAUCUCCAAUGAAGAACCCACAAUGUUUUUUUGUUGCAGACGCAUAGCAGGAAGGGGAGUGUGAGGUCACAACACAAGCAGCACCUCCCCAAAAUGCCCCAGAGAACAAAUUCGAAGGCGCUGGGCAGUUGCUGCCAGUGAAACCAGCCACUUCUGAUGUAGAUGGACCAUUCGUUUUAAACUUCACUUAAGCCACACGUGUGCAUGGGGGAGAGCAGGAAGAUAACACACUCCAGUCUGGCAGAACAGAUUCAAGAGGCAUCCCUUACGUCGUCAUUCCCAGUACACCAGACUUGCUUUAUAUAUUUAUUUGCGUUAUUUAUACCCCACUUUUUUCUCCAACGGGACCUUAAGUGGCUUACAACAUUUUCCGCUCCGUGUUAUCCUCACAACAGCCCUGCAUAGUGGGCUAGACGGAACGUGCGUGACUAAUCGAAGGUCACCCAGCAAGCAUCUAGGGCAAAGUGGAGUUUGAAACCUACUUCCUAGUUCUUAGCCUGACACUCUUAACCGUUGUACCGUGCUGCGGACACUUGACUCCAGACAUUUUCAGAGGCGUUUCCCAGGGCAUUUAAUGGAGUAUCAGCACGAGGCCUCUUCUUGGAGAGGGAAUGGGGAUACUUGGGCUUUAUUCUGUAUGCUUUCAACUGCGCUUUGUCAGCCAGCCACUGUAAGGAAAGGCAGGGUAUAAAUAUUUUAAUAAAUAAGA